rfam:Triticum aestivum genome assembly, contig: Triticum_aestivum_CS42_TGACv1_scaffold_129293_2BL
AUGAUACUCCCUUCGCCUCAAAAUUCUUGUCUUAGAUUUGUCUAAAUACAGAUGUAUCAAGUCACGUUUUAGUAUUAGAUACAUCUGUAUCUAGUCAAAUCUAAGACAAGAAUUUUGGGACGGAGGGAGUAUAUA